UAAGUAAGUUGGGUAGUUGCUGCCAAUUUUGUUCACAAGACAAUUUUGGUAGAGGAAAGUCCGAACACUCAGAAAUUUGGUGGCCCCUAUAGAGUUAUCAAAUUUCAAGGGUAGCGGGUAACGCCCGUCUGCCGCGAGGCACGAGAUGCGAACAGAGACGUUUUGGCGCGAAAGUGCCAAAACGCCCCGUCGAAUGACGGGGCGAGUCCUGAUAGCAAUAUCAGGAGUGAAACGGCCAAACUCUUACUUGAGUGCAAGCUCAAAAAAGGUAGAGCGCAAGAUCCGCCGAGUAAUCGGCGGACCAGAUAGAUAACUACACAAACACAGAAUUCGGCUUACAGACUUACUUAGGGC
rnacentral:RNase_P_RNA from 1 species